GUAUGUGAGGGUGAUCUGGCUGUGAUACCUGUCACCCCAUUGAUCGCCGGGGAUCAUUCGGCUGAUAUGGCUGGUCAGGCGGGUGUCCCCUUCCUCCCUCACCGCUCCAUGUGUGUCCCUCCCGAACCUGCACACUCGGUCGAAGAGGACGGCCUUCCCUGAAUAGAGACGGACUGGUCUUCGGUCAAGGGUGUACACCAGUAUCUGAGCUCCCCUGCCAGAACCUCCAAACAAGCUCUCAAGGUCCAAAAUUUAAGUUCCUUGUGGUUAUACUGGGUUGUCAGAAAAACCAUGAUUUACUUUCCUAUGCAAAAAAUGUUUUGG
ensembl:misc_RNA 7SK 7SK RNA